GCUGGGCUCUCUGUUUGUUCGAGGGCUGACCCACCUGGCGGCUGCCAAGAGGCUUGCGGCUGCCCCUUCCCCAUGUAGCAGCUGGUGCCCUGAAACACCUUUGACGACCUGCUCUUCCACUCAGAGUACCUGCUGGCUCACUCAGGGAGGCCCCAGGAAGAGCUGCUGGAGGGCAAUGGAUGCACGGGGAAGGAAAGAGGCGCCCCAUGAGGACAGCAUGGUCUACCUCCUCAAUACUACAGACCCCAGACCAGAUCCCCGUCAGGACAGCAUGGUCCCCCUCCUCAACACUACAGACCCAAGACCAGAUCCCCGUCAGGACAUGGUCCCCCUCCUCAACACUACAGACCCCAGACCAGAUCCCCGUCAGGACAGCAUGGUCCCCCUCCUCAACACUACAGACCCCAGACCAGAUCCCCGUCAGGACAGCAUGAUCCCCCUCCUAGACACUACAGACCCCAGAGCAGAGAUCCCAGAGGACAGAGCAUAACAGACAAAGAUUAAGACAUCCAAACAGACAGAGACACCACAUGGCCCCUACGUGAGACACCACAUGGCCCCUACGUGAGACACCACCUGGCCCCUACGUGAGACACCACCUGGCCCCUAGGUGAGACACCACCUGGCCCCUAGGUGAGACACCACCUGGCCCCUAGGUGAGACACCACCUGGCCCCUAGGUGAGAUACCACCUGGCCCCUAGGUGAGAUACCACCUGGCCCCUAGGUGAGAUACCACCUGGCCCCUAGGUGAGAUACCACCUGGCCCCUAGGUGAGAUACCACCUGGCCACCAGGUGAGAUACCACCUGGCCCCUAGGUGAGAUACCACCUGGCCACCAGGUGAGAUACCACCUGGCCACCAUUUGAGAUACUACUUGGCCCCGCAGGUGAGGUACCCCCGAGCCCCUAGGUGAGACACCACCUGGCCCCCAGGUGAGAUUUCACCUGGCCACCAUUUGAGAUACCACUUGGCCCC
rnacentral:lncRNA from 8 species